rnacentral:rRNA from 1 species
GAUGAACGCUGGCGGCGUGCUUAACACAUGCAAGUCGAACGAAGCGCUUGGAUGGAAUUCUUCGGAAGGAAGCUCAAGUGACUGAGUGGCGGACGGGUGAGUAACGCGUGGGUAACCUGCCUCAUACAGGGGGAUAACAGUUAGAAAUGACUGCUAAUACCGCAUAAGCACACGUGAUCGCAUGAUCGAGUGUGAAAAACUCCGGUGGUAUGAGAUGGACCCGCGUCUGAUUAGCUAGUUGGUGGGGUAAUGGCCCACCAAGGCGACGAUCAGUAGCCGGCCUGAGAGGGUGAACGGCCACAUUGGGACUGAGACACGGCCCAAACUCCUACGGGAGGCAGCAGUGGGGAAUAUUGCACAAUGGGGGAAACCCUGAUGCAGCGACGCCGCGUGAAGGAUGAAGUAUUUCGGUAUGUAAACUUCUAUCAGCAGGGAAGAAAAUGACGGUA